AUGGGCAACUCCUCCUCCCCACAGAACUUCUAUCCACACUCUCCCUUCUGUCCCCAUCAGCACCUCCACCCUGGCCUUUCCAUGGUUUCCGUUCCCCUGCCACACCCCCAUUAUGUUGGCACCCUGGCUGCAGGCAGAGCGUUCUUCCUGAAACACUGUCCUUGCCCAGCCCUUCCUGGGGGGCAGCUCCUUUUCCUUGAUCCCCACUGGAGCCACGGGUGGGAAAAUCAUGCCUGUUGCAACGGCUUUGGCUUUGCCCCUGAGUCACUGCACCCGGAGGUAGAUGCUGGGACAUCCCGGCGACUCAGCUUUACGGGAUGCCGGAGUCCUUGCGCAGCCCGGGAGGCCUUGACGGGAACGAGCCUGUCCCAAAUGCCAGCGUGGGCGCAUGAUGCACGCCUCUGCCAUCCCUGGCACCUCUGUCCUCCUGCCCUGUGUGCCACCUGUGGCUGCACUGGAGCGUGGAGGGUUGAGCGCAGGGGGCUGAGUGCGGGAGGGUGCCCUGGGCAGGGCUGCCAUCCCUGUGGCUGCAGCCUAUCCCCGUGGGUUGCAGGUUCCCUGGAGUGCCUGGCCGGGGGCAGAGCGGCCCCACGAAGGAAUCCACCUGCAGAGCUGCGGGGACCUGAGCUCCACCUCGUCCCUGCGCCGGCUCCUGUCCACGCGCCGGCUGGAGCGCAGCCGCCCCCGGAGCCUCAGCGGGACCUGCAAGGAGAGCGCGCUCUGAGGACACAGCCUCACCUGCAGGGACCCUGCCGUGCUCCGGUGUGGAGAGGGCUCUGGGCUCAGCCCUGGACAUUGCUCGGACAUUGCUGCUGCCCUGGUGGGGCUGGGCCCUGCGCUGUUGCCCCGGGGGCUCAGCUGGGCCCCUUCCCCAUGCGGGGCUGGGGUGAGGGACCCCUGGGGUGUCUGCUGGGGAUGGCAGUGCUUGUCCCCUGCCUGUCUGGGAUGGUUAUGUCUGUUCCUCGCCCUAUCCCUUGUUCUGGACACGCCUGUCCCUUGCCCUAUCCCUUGUGCCAGCUGUGCCUAUUCCCUGGGAUGGCCACGCCUGUCCCCUGCCCUGUCCCAUGUUCUGGCUGUGCCUGA
rnacentral:lncRNA from 1 species